rnacentral:lncRNA from 1 species
CAAAACCCAAAUAAUAAGAUGAAAGGUUAAAGAAAAUAAACAUGAAGAGUUGCAGCCAACGUGAGUUUGAGAAAAGAAGAAGAAGAAGAAGAAGAACUUGAGGUUUUUCAUCAAUUUUCCCACAUUUGGGAUUCAAAUAAUUUUAAGGCAAGUGUUCUAACCCCAUCCCAUAGUAACCUUAAUCUCUGUUUCCAUUUUUAUUCUGCAAAAUUUGAAAGAUUUCAACUGAGAACCAG